rnacentral:rRNA from 1 species
UACGUAGGGGGCAAGCGUUAUCCGGAUUUACUGGGUGUAAAGGGAGCGUAGACGGCGAUGCAAGCCAGAUGUGAAAGCCCGGGGCUCAACCCCGGGACUGCAUUUGGAACUGUGUGGCUGGAGUGUCGGAGAGGCAAGUGGAAUUCCUAGUGUAGCGGUGAAAUGCGUAGAUAUUAGGAGGAACACCAGUGGCGAAGGCGGCUUGCUGGACGAUGACUGACGAUGAGGCUCGAAAGCGUGGGGAGCAAACAGG